GCCAGACUCCUACGGGAGGCAGCAGUGGGGGAUAUUGCACAAUGGGGGAAACCCUGAUGCAGCGACGCCGCGUGAGUGAAGGAGCGUUUCGGCGCGUAAAGCUCUCUCAGCAGGGAAGACAAACUGCCCCGGAAGGGGCAGCCGGACGGUACCUGACCAAGAAGCUCCGGCUAACUACGUGCCAGCAGCCGCGGUAAUACGUAGGGAGCAAGCGUUGUCCGGAAUUACUGGGCGUAAAGGGCGCGUAGGUGGGUGCUUAAGUCAGGUGUGAAAACUCUGGGCUCAACCUGGAGACUGCACUUGAAACUGGGUAUCUUGAGGGCAGGAGAGGAAAGUGGAAUUCCUAGUGUAGCGGUGAAAUGCGUAGAUAUUAGGAGGAACACCAGUGGCGAAGGCGACUUUCUGGACUGUACCUGACGCUGAGGCGCGAAAGCGUGGGUAGCGAACGGGAUUAGAUACCCCAGUAGAU
rnacentral:rRNA from 1 species